UAAUACGUAGNUCCCGAGCGUUGUCCGGAUUUAUUGGGCGUAAAGCGAGCGCAGGCGGUUUGAUAAGUNUGAAGUUAAAGGCUGCGGCUCAACCAUAGUUCGCUUUGGAAACUGUCAAACUUGAGUGCAGAAGGGGAGAGUGGAAUUCCAUGUGUAGCGGUGAAAUGCGUAGAUAUAUGGAGGAACACCGGUGGCGAAAGCGGCUCUCUGGUCUGUAACUGACGCUGAGGCUCGAAAGCGUGGGGAGCGAACAGGAUUAGAUACCCUGGUAGUCCACGCCGUAAACGAUGAGUGCUAGGUGUUGGAUCCUUUCCGGGAUUCAGUGCCGCAGCUAACGCAUUAAGCACUCCGCCUGGGGAGUACGACCGCAAGGUUGAAACUCAAAGGAAUUGACGGGGGCCCGCACAAGCGGUGGAGCAUGAGGUUUAAUUCGAAGCAACGCGAAGAACCUUACCAGGUCUUGACAUCUCGAUGCUAUUUCUAGAGAUAGGAAGUUACUUCGGUACAUCGGUGACAGGUGGUGCAUGGUUGUCGUCAGCUCGUGUCGUGAGAUGUUGGGUUAAGUCCCGCAACGAGCGCAACCCCUAUUGUUAGUUGCCAUCAUUCAGUUGGGCACUCUAGCAAGACUGCCGGUAAUAAACCGGAGGAAGGUGGGGAUGACGUCAAAUCAUCAUGCCCCUUAUGACCUGGGCUACACACGUGCUACAAUGGUUGGUACAACGAGUUGCGAGUCGGUGACGGCGAGCUAAUCUCUUAAAGCCAAUCUCAGUUCGGAUUGUAGGCUGCAACUCGCCUACAUGAAGUCGGAAUCGCUAGUAAUCGCGGAUCAGCACGCCGCGGUGAAUACGUUCCCGGGCCUUGUACACACCGCCCGUCACACCACGAGAGUUUGUAACACCCGAAGUCGGUGAGGUAACCUUAUGGAGCCA
rnacentral:rRNA from 1 species